UCCUUUCUUUGUUUCAAUAUCCUGCAAUUUACCCCUUUACGCUCAAGCACCCUAGAUCCCCUGGGUGCGGCACCUCUAGGAGCAGGGGCCUAUAGCUAAUUCAGUGGUGCAGACCCUGAGGUCAUACGGUCUUUGGACAUGUGGAACACUGGAGUCUAGCUCCCUGUCAACCAGGAUAUCUAACAGUUUCACCUCUUAUUCUUACUCUCAUUCUUUUCUCUACUAAAUACCUUUUGCAUCUAAUAUUCCAAAACAGAAAAAGGGGCGGUAGGGGGAGAGUGUGGCAACAAUGUAUCAGCACAUCACAAUCUGCGUGCAACACCUACAUGCUGCAGUUAUAAUGUGUAACUGCAAUACUGUUUACAAUAUGAUGUUG